UAAAGACGCAUGCAGGUGGUUUGUUAAGUCAGAUGUGAAAGCCCGGGGCUCAACCUCGGAAUUGCAUUUGAAACUGGCAGACUAGAGUACUGUAGAGGGGGGUAGGAAUUUCAGGUGUAGCGGUGAAAUGCGUAGAGAUCUGAAGGAAUACCGGUGGCGAAGGCGGCCCCCUCGGACAGAUACUGACACUCAGAUGCGAAAGCGUGGGGAGCAAACAGGAUUAGAUACCCUGGUAG
rnacentral:rRNA from 1 species